rnacentral:rRNA from 1 species
AUUGAACGCUGGCGGCAUGCCUUACACAUGCAAGUCGAACGGUAACAGGACUUCGCUUGCUUACUAGUUGCGGACUGGCGGGUAAUGGAUUAGAACGUGCGAAGCUGUCGGGUAUAACGGAGCAAAAACUGUGCUAGUACGCCAUGUGCGCUGAGCGUCACAACACGGAAGCAGGCAGCAUUGUGUGCCCUUGCCCCUGUGUAUGGCCCGAUGUGAGAUUAGGUAGUUGGUGGGGUAAAGGCCUACCUAGCCGACGAUCUGUAGCUGGUCUGAGAGGACGACCAGCCACACUGGGACUGAGACACGGUCCAGACUCCUACGGGAGGCAGCAGUGGGGAAUUUUGGACAAUGGGCGCAAGCCUGAUGCAGCCAUGCCGCGUGCAGGAAGAAGGCCUUCGGGUUGUAAAGCGCUUUUGUACGGAACGAAAGGACUAUGGCUAAUACCUGGGGCUAUUGACGGUACCGUAAGAAUAAGCACCGGCUAACUACGUG